AGUGAACGCUGGCGGUAGGCCUAACACAUGCAAGUCGAACGGCAGCACAGUAAGAGCUUGCUCUUACGGGUGGCGAGUGGCGGACGGGUGAGGAAUACAUCGGAAUCUACUUUUUCGUGGGGGAUAACGUAGGGAAACUUACGCUAAUACCGCAUACGACCUACGGGUGAAAGCAGGGGAUCUUCGGACCUUGCGCGAUUGAAUGAGCCGAUGUCGGAUUAGCCAGUUGGCGGGGUAAAGGCCCACCAAGGCGACGAUCCGUAGCUGGUCUGAGAGGAUGAUCAGCCACACUGGAACUGAGACACGGUCCAGACUCCUACGGGAGGCAGCAGUGGGGAAUAUUGGACAAUGGGCGCAAGCCUGAUCCAGCCAUACCGCGUGGGUGAAGAAGGCCUUCGGGUUGUAAAGCCCUUUUGUUGGGAAAGAAAAGCAGCAGGUUAAUACCCCGCUGUUCUGACGGUACCCAAACAAUAAGCACCGGCUAACUUCGUG
rnacentral:rRNA from 1 species